rnacentral:rRNA from 1 species
ACAUGCAAGUCGAGCGGACCGACGGGAGCUUGCUCCCUUAGGUCAGCGGCGGACGGGUGAGUAACACGUGGGUAACCUGCCUGUAAGACUGGGAUAACUCCGGGAAACCGGGGCUAAUACCGGAUGCUUGAUUGAACCGCAUGGUUCAAUCAUAAAAGGUGGCUUUUAGCUACCACUURCAGAUGGACCCGCGGCGCAUUAGCUAGUUGGUGAGGUAACGGCUCACCAAGGCGACGAUGCGUAGCCGACCUGAGAGGGUGAUCGGCCACACUGGGACUGAGACACGGCCCAGACUCCUACGGGAGGCAGCAGUAGGGAAUCUUCCGCAAUGGACGAAAGUCUGACGGAGCAACGCCGCGUGAGUGAUGAAGGUUUUCGGAUCGUAAAACUCUGUUGUUAGGGAAGAACAAGUACCGUUCGAAUAGGGCGGCACCUUGACGGUACCUAACCAGAAAGCCACGGCUAACUACGUGCCAGCAGCCGCGGUAAUACGUAGGUGGCAAGCGUUGUCCGGAAUUAUUGGGCGUAAAGCGCGCGCAGGCGGUUUCUUAAGUCUGAUGUGAAAGCCCCCGGCUCAACCGGGGAGGGUCAUUGGAAACUGGGGAACUUGAGUGCAGAAGAGGAGAGUGGAAUUCCACGUGUAGCGGUGAAAUGCGUAGAGAUGUGGAGGAACACCAGUGGCGAAGGCGACUCUCUGGUCUGUAACUGACGCUGAGGCGCGAAAGCGUGGGGAGCGAACAGGAUUAGAUACCCUGGUAGUCCACGCCGUAAACGAUGAGUGCUAAGUGUUAGAGGGUUUCCGCCCUUUAGUGCUGCAGCAAACGCAUUAAGCACUCCGCCUGGGGAGUACGGUCGCAAGACUGAAACUCAAAGGAAUUGACGGGGGCCCGCACAAGCGGUGGAGCAUGUGGUUUAAUUCGAAGCAACGCGAAGAACCUUACCAGGUCUUGACAUCCUCUGACAACCCUAGAGAUAAGGGCUUCCCCUUCGGGGGCAGAGUGACAGGUGGUGCAUGGUUGUCGUCAGCUCGUGUCGUGAGAUGUUGGGUUAAGUCCCGCAACGAGCGCAACCCUUGAUCUUAGUUGCCAGCAUUCAGUUGGGCACUCUAA